AUUCGCACUUCGCGUUCGUCCACCCCGUACGUACGUUGGAGACGAUCUACAGCGAAAAUGGAAACUUAUAUCAGAGAAUACAGGAAUGUUGGAGGAUAUGGAUAGUAGCGAGAGCAGUAGCAGAGACUACGACGACGACGACGGUGGUGGUGGUGGAGGCGAGCUGCAGCAGCCGAGUUUCGUUCCAUCUCUUAUUUAUUUAUUAUUUUUGCCCCCCUAACACAACAUCUACCCCCACCGCUGGACCCUUUUCAAUUCCCUCCCACCGAACGCACUUAUAUCAUUACAUUUUCUAUCCCAUUCAUUCAUUCCGAUUAUUAGCCACCUUUUUUCUUUUUUUUUUCGGGACAACACUCGGUCCGUCCAUCCCCACUCCCGCUCCUCAUUCGCUCUCGCACCUCUCCUAUUCAUUUCCGCUCCAUCAAACGACAACAACAGCGGCAGCAGCAGCAGCAGCAACAGCAACAACCCCUCGAAAGAAUAAGACUGGAGCGAGCAAAACAGAAAGUGAGAGAGAAGAUAGUAAACAACGGCAGUAGUGGAUUAAACGUAACCGUGGAUCCGAGCAGGCGUUUGCUCUCCUUGACGACGAUCCUCAUCUACUGUUGUCAUCGCGAUUCCUUGUUGAGGAAACGGUCAUCAUCAUCAUCGUCGUCAGAAGCAGCAGCAGUAGUGCUGCGAGGCUGAAGGAGUGUAGCAGCAGCAACAUCGGUGGAGCGGAGCAGCAGAGUUCGUUCGGUACGAUCGUCUUUCUUCUCUUCGGAUCCGGUGGAAGAGGAGGAGAGGUAGGCGCGCGUGAGUGGUGUUGUGUGUGUGCUGGCGGGCAGCAGUGUUUAGUGUGUUGUAUUUCUGUGAGUGCGGCCACGACGACGACGACGACGAUCAUGAUGAUGUUGAUGAUGAAGUUGCUGCUGGUUCAGUGCUGACGAAAACGGGGAAAACGGAAAAUGUUUUAUGUUUAUAUUUGUUGUGUAAAAAUAGUCCACGGAUUUAUCAUCAUACCCGACGCAUUUCACACGGACGAUAAUCAGAAGGUAAGUCGGUCCCCCUCACUAAAUAUAUCAUUCUCUCGCUCAUUCUAUCGCAUAUAUUCCUCCUUAGUGAGAGAGGAAACAUUAAGAAACAACAACAACGAUCGAAAAAAU